UUUUGUAGUUCUGAGGUUUUGUAGUCCUAUGGUUCUGAGGUUCUGUAGUUCUGUAGUCCUGUAUUUCUGAGGUUCUGUAGUCCUGUAGUUCUGAGGUUCUGAAAUUUUGUAGUUCUGAGGUUUUGUAGUCCUAUAGUUCUGAGGUUCUGUAGUCCUGUAGUUCUGUAGUCCUAUAGUUCUGUAGUCCUGU